AGGAUAGUAGUUAACUAUAACAUUUGAAUUGCAAUCAAAAGGUGUUGAAAGUACAAUCAACUUAUCUUA
rnacentral:tRNA from 1 species